CCUACGGGAGGCAGCAGUGAGGAAUAUUGGUCAAUGGACGAGAGUCUGAACCAGCCAAGUAGCGUGAAGGAUGACUGCCCUAGGGAUUGUAAACUUCUUUUAUAUGGGAAUAAAAUGUUCCACGUGUGGGAUUUUGUAUGUACCAUAUGAAUAAGGAUCGGCUAACUCCGUGCCAGCAGCCGCGGUAAUACGGAGGAUCCGAGCGUUAUCCGGAUUUAUUGGGUUUAAAGGGAGCGUAGGGGGAUUGUUAAGUCAGUUGUGAAAGUUUGGGGCUCAACCGUAAAAUUGCAGUUGAAACUGGCAGUCUUGAGUACAGUAGAGGUGGGCGGAAUUCGUGGUGUAGCGGUGAAAUGCUUAGAUAUCACGAAGAACUCCGAUUGCGAAGGCAGUUCACUGGACUGCAACUGACACUGAGGCUCGAAAGUGUGGGUAUCAAACAGGAUUAGAUACCCGAGUAGUC
rnacentral:rRNA from 1 species